rnacentral:lncRNA from 1 species
AUAUAUAUAUUAGUAAUUAAUUACUAUGCUAUAAAUGAAAACUCUGUUGUUUCAAGUUUAACAUUAACGAAUGCUUCAAAUGUUAAUAUAUUUGGUUCCAAAUUAAACAUAAAAUAAUCAUAGAUGCUGGAAUAUAAAAAUUGCUAUUUCUUUCCCGUCUAGGAAAGUAAUAAUUUGUUGAAACUUCUUAUUGGGCGACAAACAGAAACUUUGUUUACAUCCCCUAUUUUAAACACAAUCCGUUUGUUUUAUAAAGAUAAACUCAAGAAAAGUAUUGCAAUAGGUGUGAAGUUCUUGGCUACCCUUAGUAUUUGCUAAAACC